AUAAUAUAAUAUUUUCUUAUUUUAGCUGUUGGUGUGGAGGGUAAGUACUUUAGAUAAAACUUACUAUCCAUAUUUCUCUUUUAUUGCUUGGCAGUACAUAGUAUGAAUAAGUCAUACAAAGACGUAGAGAUCGUAGUUUUAAAAGUAUUAGUAUUAGUAAUAUAAUUAAACGAAGUAUGACAUGCUUAUUUUGAGUUGUUUUGUUUGAAUCGUCCAAUUAGCAUUAUUUAAUUUAGUUGUGUAAGGGCACGACAGAAAUGUAGAGAGAAUAGAAUUGUCCUGCAGUAGUCCUUUUAAUUUCUGUUUGUAAGGGUUCAUGAAAGAUUAAAAUUAUUUACAAAUUAUUUCUUUUGAAUAACACUAUUGAUAGGUCUUUCAUGUCUGCGUGUCUGGUAACUCCUGAAAUAUAUAGAUAACUUUUAUUUAGCAUGAUAGCAAAAAUUUAGAGUAAGCUCUUCUUAGUUUUCACAUUCUCAUGCAUUUCAACAUAAUUAUAAGUUGAAUUACUAGCACGGGAAAAAGAAACAAAUGUUAUAUUCGUGCACCAAUAUACAAUGUCAACUUGAGUAGGUUUUUAUGUCAUGUUUUCAUCACAGCCUAAUCCCUAGGCAGUCUGGCACUUAAAAACUAAAAAAACACUAAAAAUAAUUUUCAGGACUAAAAAUACUCCAAAUGUUUAAGCAAAACAUGCACACAUAAACUAUUAUUGAACUCGGAAUACAUGAAGGAUGAACCAUUUGCAUUAAAAAAGCAAAGGCUACACAUAAGAUCUAAAACAACUGUUUUUAUUUUGAAAUACAAAUAACCAUAAUGAUGUUAUUUUGAUGCAUAUUUAAACAUGUAAAGCAUCAAAUAAUAUUAAUUUUAUUCAUUGUAUUGCAGACAGUAUGAGUUUAUAGCAGAAUAGCAAAGACAAAGCCUGUAUCAUUUAUUAGAAUAAAGAACAUAAACGUAUUUCUUGAACAAUAGAACACAAUUUGAAGCUUAUGUAUGCUUGCAUGUUUAUUUUUAUGAUAUAAAUAUAUAUGAUUCUAGUUACAUAUAUGAAAACAUUUCAAAUAGUUAGCUACAUUGAGGUUUUAACCACAUAUGUAUGAAGCUUUACUCGUUGCACCAUAUGAAUCAUUCAAACAUUUUGGUAUUCCCCUAUAUUAGUAACUAAUAUGAACUUUAUCUAUUCUCAUGACUGUAUUCUAUUUAGAAUUUGCUA
rnacentral:lncRNA from 1 species